UUUACUUUCUUCAUUUAGGCAAGUGUUCAGCGGAAGAGUGCCACCGGUGCUCCGUCCUCUUGGGCAAGAGAUGAUCGAUUCGGGCUAGGUGAUUUUGAUGAGGUAGAGAUAAGACUUCGAGAUGUCCUUCUGCCAGGGGCGUCCUGAUACUCUCAUCGCAGACUUCUUCAGAUCUUCGGGAGAGACUGGCCACUACCCAGACGGUGAUCAAGGCUGCCGAAGGCGAGGUGGCUGGUCUUCAUGCUCGCCUAGUGGUGGCAGAUCACCUUGUUGUGGCACUAGAUUCAAAGUCAUGGGCCUUCGCGAGGGUGCAGACGCCGUGGUCGCCUUCGUCCAGGGCCAGGGUUCCGAUUGAGGAGAGUGCCUUCUCGACGUAGCCAACAGGGUGUGCCUAGUCGUCCGUCGCGGCGCCUACUGUGGUGUCGCUGGUGCUCUGGCCUUUGUGCAGUUCUGGUCGGGCUAAGAGGUCAGCACUGGGUACCUUUUGGAGGACAAGACCGGUGAAAGUGAAUUCAUCCCUUUUGUGGGUUUUGGUGAUUUGGAUAACAACACAUUUAAAGGUCUAACAUGUUUGCUAAGAGUUGAACAUGAAAUUUAGUAUGAUGAACAUACUUGAAUAGUGUAUAAUGACCAAUGAACAAAGGUUCAACACAAGAUUAAAUA